AGAGUUUGAUCCUGGCUCAGAAUGAACGCUGGCGGCGUGCUUAACACAUGCAAGUCGAACGAGAACUCCCAAGCUUGCUUGGGAUAGUAAAGUGGCGCACGGGUGAGUAACGCGUGGGUAAUCUAUCGUUGGGUUCGGGAUAACAUUGCGAAAGCGGUGCUAAUACCGGAUAAUAUUUCCUUGUCUUUGGGCGAGGUGAUCAAAGGUGGCCUCUACAUGUAAGCUACUGUCUGAUGAGGAGCUCGCGUACCAUUAGCUAGUUGGUGGGGUAAGAGCCUACCAAGGCAACGAUGGUUAGCUGGUCUGAGAGGAUGAUCAGCCACACUGGAACUGACACACGGUCCAGACUCCUACGGGAGGCAGCAGUGAGGAAUCUUGCGCAAUGGGCGAAAGCCUGACGCAGCAACGCCGCGUGAGUGAUGAAGGCUUUCGGGUCGUAAAGCUCUGUCAAGUGGGAAGAACCUGCCUGUGGUUAAUACCCAUGGGUACUGACGGUACCACUGAAGGAAGCACCGGCUAACUCCGUGCCAGCAGCCGCGGUAAUACGGAGGGUGCAAGCGUUAUUCGGAAUUAUUGGGCGUAAAGGGCGCGCAGGCGGCUGCCUAAGUCAGAUGUGAAAUCCCGGGGCUUAACCCCGGAAGUGCAUUUGAAACUGGGUGGCUUGAGUAUGGGAGAGGGAAGUGGAAUUCCUGGUGUAGAGGUGAAAUUCGUAGAUAUCAGGAGGAACACCGGUGGCGAAGGCGACUUCCUGGACCAAUACUGACGCUGAGGCGCGAAGGCGUGGGGAGCGAACAGGAUUAGAUACCCUGGUAGUCCACGCAGUAAACGUUGAUCACUAGGUGUAGCGGGUAUUGACCCCUGCUGUGCCGGAGCUAACGCAUUAA
rnacentral:rRNA from 1 species